UUUCAAUAAAACCCUUCAUUCUUUCCUUGCUUUAUGUGUGCAUUUUGUCCAAUUCGUAGUGCAGACACCAAGAGCCUGGACACCCUCCACCGGUGUCCUAUUUUGGUGAGCCAGCCAGGAGGAAGAGAAGCCGUAGGGGAUUGUUCUCCAGUCUUGACUUUGAGAACUUGGUAGAGCUCCUGAAGGCUCACCUGAUAAGAGAUGUAUGUCACAAUCUGCUCACCCUGGCAUUUCUCUAAAUAGAAGGUUCAUCUGUCUGAAUAUAGAUAUCAAGAAGUGGCAGAGUAUCAGAGGAGAAAGAUAUCAAGAAAUAGAAUAUUCAAGGUAGCAAGAAACAGGCCUCUGAAAUUUAAGAACCACAAAACAAUAAAAGAAGUAAACUCUUUUGUUGAAAAGCUCCAAUUCCCCUGUAAACGUCUCAUUCAGAGUCUAAUUGUAACCCAAUUAAGAAAAUUAAGAUGAGUAGAAACAGCUGGAACAGAAGGCACUUGGGGUGAAGUGUACCCUCUGCAGUCAUUAUUUGAUGGAGAUCAUUACCCAACUCUACACACAGCACAUGAUAUUUAAUAUGAUUGGACUAAUUUAUAUCUGAAAAGAAUAAAAGUAUGUUAUGUAAAUAAAUCGAGUGACCUAUUAGCUCAAAUUCUUAAACACUCAGUUAUCCAACGUUGCAAGUACAGUCAUGUGAUAAACCUUCAAAAUGCGGUUAGUCCUCUUUCUGUAUCUGUCCACAGCAUUACCUUUUUUCCUUUUGGUCAUGGCAAUAUAUUCAUCUCAUGAGUGUUACAGCCAGAGAUGCACCAGUAACAACAUUGUGAUGUCCCAUGUUUAAUUUUAUGUGUGGUGAGUGUUAAAGGGAGAAUAAAGCCUUAAUUUGAAUUUAAAACUGGUAAUUAC
rnacentral:lncRNA from 10 species